rnacentral:rRNA from 1 species
CAAUAGCGUAUAUUAAAGUUGUUGCAGUUAAAAAGCUCGUAGUUGGAUUUCGGGAUGGCCCGGCCGGUCUGCCGCACGGUAUGUUACUGGCCGAGCUGUUCUUCUUCGCAAAGACUGUGUGUGCUCUUAACUGAGUGUGCUCAGGAUCUGUGACGUUUACUUUGAAAAAAUUAGAGUGUUCAAAGCAAGCCAGCGCUUGAAUACAUAAGCAUGGAAUAAUGGAAUAGGACUUUGGUUCUAUUUUGUUGGUUUCUGGAACCUUAGUAAUGAUUAAGAGAGACAGUUGGGGGCAUUCGUAUUUCGUUGUCAGAGGUGAAAUUCUUGGAUUUACGAAAGACGAACUACUGCGAAAGCAUUUGCCAAGAAUGUUUUCAUUAA